rnacentral:rRNA from 1 species
UGCUGGAGGUAUCAGAAGUGCGAAUGCUGACAUAAGUAACGAUAAAGCGGGUGAAAAGCCCGCUCGCCGGAAGACCAAGGGUUCCUGUCCAACGUUAAUCGGGGCAGGGUGAGUCGACCCCUAAGGCGAGGCCGAAAGGCGUAGUCGAUGGGAAACAGGUUAAUAUUCCUGUACUUGGUGUUACUGCGAAGGGGGGACGGAGAAGGCUAUGUUAGCCGGGCGACGGUUGUCCCGGUUUAAGCAUGUAGGCUGAUUGUCCAGGCAAAUCCGGAUAAUCAAGGCUGAGGUGUGAUGACGAGGCACUACGGUGCUGAAGUAACAAAUGCCCUGCUUCCAGGAAAAGCCUCUAAGCAUCAGGUAACAUCAAAUCGUACCCCAAACCGACACAGGUGGUCAGGUAUAGAAUACC